UGGGGAAUAUUGCACAAUGGGCGCAAGCCUGAUGCAGCCAUGCCGCGUGUGUGAAGAAGGCCUUCGGGUUGUAAAGCACUUUCAGCGAGGAGGAAGGUGGUGAGCUUAAUACGCUCAUCAAUUGACGUUACUCGCGGAAGAAGCACCGGCUAACUCCGUGCCAGCAGCCGCGGUAAUACGGAGGGUGCAAGCGUUAAUCGGAAUUACUGGGCGUAAAGCGCACGCAGGCGGUUUGUUAAGUCAGAUGUGAAAUCCCCGGGCUCAACCUGGGAACUGCAUUUGAAACUGGCAAGCUAGAGUCUCGUAGAGGGGGGUAGAAUUCCAGGUGUAGCGGUGAAAUGCGUAGAGAUCUGGAGGAAUACCGGUGGCGAAGGCGGCCCCCUGGACGAAGACUGACGCUCAGGUGCGAAAGCGUGGGGAGCAAAACAGGAUUAGAUACCCUGGUAGUCCACGCUGUAAAACGAUGUCGAUUUUGGAGGUUGUGCCCUUGAGGCGUGGCUUCCGGAGCUAACGCGUUAAAUCGACCGCCUGGGGAGUACGGCCGCAAGGUUAAAAACUCAAAUGAAUUGACGGGGUCAUAGCUG
rnacentral:rRNA from 1 species